GGAGAGGUGGCCGAGUGGUUGAAGGCGCACGCUUGGAAAGCGUGUGUGCGCUGCGAAGUGUACCGUGAGUUCGAAUCUCAUCCUCUCCGCCA
rnacentral:tRNA from 1 species